rnacentral:misc_RNA from 1 species
AUCUUGUAAAUUGACAUAAUUGCUGGAAAAGGGAUUUACAACUUCUUUUAGUUUCUGGUUUAAGUUUGAAACUAUGGAAAAAGCUUAGCUGCACCUACAACAACUGUAACAUCUAACAUUCUAAAAGAAUGCUAUCACUAUCAGCUAUAUCACAUUUCUUCUUGUUUUAGUUGUUGCUGCUGCUUCUAGAUGUUGCUACAAAAGCUGGCUGCAGAUUGUAAGAAUGUCAAUUUUUGGUGCCCCUGCUAGAUGUUCUGAUCACAAGCUUUUCUUUACAAGAUUUAAUUAUAUCAAUCAAGAGCUUGUCUCCAGUCAUCUGCCUCACCCUUCGGAUUAGU